GACGAACGCUGGCGGCGUGCCUAAUACAUGCAAGUUGAGCGAUGAAGAUUGGUGCUUGCACCAAUUUGAAGAGCAGCGAACGGGUGAGUAACGCGUGGGGAAUCUGCCUUUGAGCGGGGGACAACAUUUGGAAACGAAUGCUAAUACCGCAUAACAACUUUAAACAUAAGUUUUAAGUUUGAAAGAUGCAAUUGCAUCACUCAAAGAUGAUCCCGCGUUGUAUUAGCUAGUUGGUGAGGUAAAGGCUCACCAAGGCGAUGAUACAUAGCCGACCUGAGAGGGUGAUCGGCCGCAUUGGGACUGAGACACGGCCCAAACUCCUACGGGAGGCAGCAGUAGGGAAUCUUCGGCAAUGGGCGAGAGUCUGACCGAGCAACGCCGCGUGAGUGAAGAAGGUUUUCGGAUCGUAAAACUCUGUUGGUGGGGAAGAACGUUGGUGAGAGUGGAAAGCUCAUCAAGUGACGGUAACUACCCAGAAAGGGACGGCUAACUACGUG
rnacentral:rRNA from 1 species